UCUCCUGGGAAACGGGUGGUAAUGCCGGAUGCUCCGACUCCUCGCAUGGGGUGUCGGGAAAGAUUUCAUCGGUAUGGGAUGGGGUCGCGUCCUAUCAGGUAGUCGGCGGGGUAACGGCCCACCGAGCCUACGACGGGUAGCCGGCCUGAGAGGGCGACCGGCCACAUUGGGACUGAGAUACGGCCCAGACUCCUACGGGAGGCAGCAGUGGGGAAUAUUGCACAAUGGGCGCAAGCCUGAUGCAGCGACGCCGCGUGCGGGAUGACGGCCUUCGGGUUGUAAACCGCUUUUGAUCGGGAGCAAGCCUUCGGGUGAGUGUACCUUUCGAAUAAGCACCGGCUAACUACGUGCCAGCAGCCGCGGUAAUACGUAGGGUGCAAGCGUUAUCCGGAAUUAUUGGGCGUAAAGGGCUCGUAGGCGGUUCGUCGCGUCCGGUGUGAAAGUCCAUCGCUUAACGGUGGAUCUGCGCCGGGUACGGGCGGGCUGGAGUGCGGUAGGGGAGACUGGAAUUCCCGGUGUAACGGUGGAAUGUGUAGAUAUCGGAAAAGAACACC
rnacentral:rRNA from 1 species